rnacentral:rRNA from 1 species
AGCAGCCGCGGUAAUUCCAGCUCCAAUAGCGUAUAUUAAAGUUGUUGCAGUUAAAAAGCUCGUAGUUGAAUUUCGGGGUUAGUAGGCUGGUCGUGCCACAGGUAUGCACUGGUCUUACUGAUUCCUCCUUCCUGAUGAACCGUAAUGCCAUUAAUUUGGUGUUGCGGGGAGUCUGGACUGUUACUUUGAAAAAAUUAGAGUGUUUAAAGCAGGCUAACGCUUGAAUACAUUAGCAUGGAAUAACGAAAUAGGACGUUCGAUCCUAUUUUGUUGGUUUCUAGGAUUGACGUAAUGAUUAAUAGGGAUAGUUGGGGGCAUUAGUAUUCAAUUGUCAGAGGUGAAAUUCUUGGAUUUAUUGAAGACUAACUAACUGCGAAAGCAUUUGCCAAGGAUGUUUUCAUUAAUCAAGAACGAAAGUUAGGGGAUCGAAGACGAUCAGAUACCGUCGUA